rnacentral:rRNA from 1 species
UACGUAGGGUGCGAGCGUUAUCCGGAAUCAUUGGGCGUAAAGAGCUCGUAGGCGGUUCAACAAGUCGGCUGUGAAAGUCCGGGGCUCAACCACGGAAUUGCAGUCGAUACUGUUGUGACUUGAGUCCGGUAGAGGAGAAUGGAAUUCCCGGUGUAGCGGUGGAAUGCGCAGAUAUCGGGAGGAACACCAGUAGCGAAGGCGGUUCUCUGGGCCGGCACUGACGCUGAUGCACGAAAGCGUGGGUAUCAAACAGGUUUAGAUACCCU